UCACACGUGUUCAUUGCCUCUUGCACAAGAUCACGCGAUCGGUUGGCGACAGCAUGAGCGGAUGCAGUAUGGGUGUUGAUUGUCCAUCUAAACCCCCUGACUGAAGAAACUUUUUAAAGUUUCCACGUAAGGCUCAAAUAUUGUUUCAGCCAUGAGGCUACAGUUGUGCUGAAGAAUCCUUCUCUAACUGUUAUGUGGUAAGUGAUUUAAUUACACUAUUUCUAGUUUUGUAUGCCCCUUUUAUUGCACAUUCAAGUCCUAUUAUGUCUUGAAUGAUCGACACGGGGGGGCUAAAUGAAAUCUCUCAAAAACCUGAAGUAUUGGCUUAAUAAUCCUUGCUUCGGAUCCUGUCGGGAGAAACA